rnacentral:sRNA from 1 species
CCAUAGCCCCGAUUGCAAUAAAAAUCCCGCAAUGGAGCGCUAGCGUAAUGAGUAAUUGUAAUGUAAAGCGGGUGGUACC